rnacentral:lncRNA from 1 species
AAAUGCCAAAGUAUCGGUUACAAGGUUCCUUACUCCUUGAGGCAUCAAAAACGAAAGACAAUGGAAGGCAGGAGGGAACCCUCUCCACAUCCCUGAGAGCCAGGCUGAAGGUUCUCCAAGGUCAAUUCCUAAAGCUGGAGGCCUCACCUGAAAACGUGGGGAUGAAGAACUCAGCCAGCCCUCUGGCAGAGCCCAUCGUGGACUGUAGAAAACUGGAGCCAGGUGCCUCUAUCAUACCCACCACCACAUUGCCACAGCAGCGUGAGCGAUGGCAGCAGCACUGGGCUAUGUGCUGCAGCACAUCCCGACCAGGCGCAGGUCACGCGCCCGCAGAUUAUCGGCUGGCCUCUGACAAUUUUUGCCCACAAAAUGUUGCUUCUGCACUUCUACAGCCUCUGACAUCCCAAAAUGUAGCUGCAGUCAGGUAAGAGCUGUGUGAUUAACCGAAGUGCUUUGGCAAAACGGGGAACAACCUUCUGUAUGGGGAGGCUCCUGAGAGGUGCAGGGUGCACAGCGAUGCACAAAGGGAUCGUCCCUGUGCCCUGCUGCCUUCUGCCAUCUCCUGCCCACAGCUUGGGGCAUUUGCUUGACGUCUGUGGGUAAGGGGAGCUGUGGGAAAGCUGAGAAUGAUUCAAUAUAAUAGCAUUUAAAAAAAAAAAAAGUAAAUUUAGCAUUUAGCUGAGGCGACUGGAUGUCUCCAGCACUGAUGGGACUGGAACAGGACGCGGUGCCUCUGGGCUGCCGGUGGGACUCGAGCCAUGGGGGCAGUGGCAGUGACCCCUGGGGGUGCUGCCCCGAUGCUGGGGACCGGUCACCCCCCCUGGCUGCUGUCACGGCUGUGUCCCAUGCGGGGGCCCCGUGGUGGAGCCGUGACACCCCCGUGCGCGGGGCUGUGCCAUCGGUGAGCGGCGCAUCACAGCCGGCCGGGUUUAUCACAACAAAGAUAACGCCGGUGUUUGCAGUCGUACAGAGGGAAAGAUAAGGGGAAGGAAGAGCCAGGGAGAGCUGGGCGACAAAGAUAAAUUUACCGUACUGCAGGAAAUCGAAAUGUGAAACGGAGAUCUCAAAGAACUGAAAUAUUUAAAAAGGUGCAGAGGGCCGGGCAGGGAGCCUGGCUUUGCACA